UGAGUAAGUGGGGCAGCCGCGGAAAUUUAUUUUCGAGGAAAGUCCGAGCUCCGCAGGGCAGGGUGCUGGGUAACGCCCAGUGGGGGUGACCCUAAGGAUAGUGCCACAGAAAUAUACCGCCUCCUACUGGAGGUUGGAUGUUGGAAGUUAGAGGUUGGAGGGAACACUUGUUAUUUGCUGCUCAGCAUGGAAGAUGUUUCUUCUAACUUUCAACUUCUUAUCUCCAACUUCCAGUACGGGGUAAGGGUGCAACGGUGCGGUAAGAGCGCACCAGCGGCCGGGAGACCGGCCGGCUCGGUAAACCCCACCCGGAGAAAGACCAAGUAGAAGGGGGAUGAGGUUGCCCGCUGACCCCUCGGGUAAGGUCGCUACAGGCGCCAGGCAACUGGCGCCGCAGAUAGAUGGCUGCUGUCCGGCACUCAACUUUAGAGUAACACCUUCUUGUUUUGGCAAGCAAGUGAAUGGUAAAUAUUUUGCUUGAAUAGAUAGGGUUUGCUCUUAAGUUGAGUGCCGGGUACAGAACUCGGCUUACAAGCUUGCUCAAGCU
rnacentral:RNase_P_RNA from 1 species